rnacentral:rRNA from 1 species
UGGGGAAUAUUGGGCAAUGGGGGAAACCCUGACCCAGCAACGCCGCGUGAAGGAAGAAGGCUUUCGGGUUGUAAACUUCUUUUACCAGGGACGAAGAAAGUGACGGUACCUGGAGAAAAAGCUCCGGCUAACUACGUGCCAGCAGCCGCGGUAAUACGUAGGGAGCGAGCGUUGUCCGGAUUUACUGGGUGUAAAGGGCGUGUAGGCGGAGCUGCAAGUCAGAAGUGAAAUCUCCGGGCUUAACCCGGAAACUGCUUUUGAAACUGUAGCCCUUGAGUACUGGAGAGGCAGGCGGAAUUCCUAGUGUAGCGGUGAAAUGCGUAGAUAUUAGGAGGAACACCAGUGGCGAAGGCGGCCUGCUGGACAGCAACUGACGCUGAGGCGCGAAAGCGUGGGGAGCAAACAGGA